AAAUGUGAGGGCAAUCUGGCUGCUGACAUCUGUCACCCCACUGAUCGCCAGGGUUGAUUUGGCUGAUCUGGCUGGCUAGGCUGGUGUCUGUCUUCCUCCCUCACUGCUCCAUGUGUGCUCCCCAAAAAGAGAUGACCAAUCUUCAGUCGAGGUUAUACGAGUAGCUGCGCUCCCCUGCUAGAGCCUACAAACAAGCUUUCAAGGUAAUCCAAGCACAUGGAACUCACAACUACAAGAGCAAAAUGACUAAAUGCUUUCAGACUCUAUAAGAACUAUGAUGGCUGUUAAG
ensembl:misc_RNA 7SK 7SK RNA